rnacentral:rRNA from 1 species
UACGAAGGGGGCUAGCGUUGCUCGGAAUCACUGGGCGUAAAGCGCGCGUAGGCGGAUCGUUAAGUCGGGGGUGAAAUCCUGGAGCUCAACUCCAGAACUGCCUUUGAUACUGGCGAUCUUGAGUCCGGGAGAGGUGAGUGGAACUCCGAGUGUAGAGGUGAAAUUCGUAGAUAUUAGGAAGAACACCAGUGGCGAAGGCAGCUCACUGGCACGGUACUGACGCUGAGGCACGAAAGCGUGGGGAGCAAACAGG